UGCACGCCCGCGAACCGUGCCUCUGUAGCGGCCCUAAGCCGAGCCUGCCUGCGUGGCUGGCCCUGGGGUUGCCCUGCUGCCCACCGCCGCCAGAGUCUGCCCUCCCCGCGUGGCGGCCAGUCCCACAGAUCUCUUCAGGUUCCUCCCCGCGCUCUCCUCCAAGUCCUGAUCUCAUCCCUCGCUAGGUUCUGCUUGGUUGCUCCCGGCCUCCCCUAAAGAAAAGCAAUUAAUUUAGGGACGGGGUGCGGGAAGGGGGGUGGGAGCGAAGUGUGAGACGAGAGACUUUCCAUUCAGUCGUCCAGACAUAAAAGGACCCACCGUCCCUUUGACCUGUGCCCAGAGUCUGUCUUGGCCUGAAAUGGACCGUUUGUGUUGCAACCUGAGACGUCUCCAUCUUGCCCUAACCUCUGAGCAGCCCCUCUUCUAGCUUUCAAAAGACAGGAAAGGAAUGGGAAUUGGAACUCUUUCCUGCCACCUAAGUCACCAGUGAAUGCACUUACUGUUUGUUUAGCAUAUCAGUGUCCCUCGGCCUGUAAGUUAGGAUGGGGGCGGGGAGUUGUCCCGCCUCGAUUCUGAACUUGCCAGUCCAGAACAGUGCCUGGCUGCAAGAGAGCUGCCCAACGAAUCCUUAAAGAGCAGGAUUCUGAGAAUAGUCUCCAAAGGGGAAAAGGAAAAAGAGAAGGACCAGCACACAAAACGGAUGAGAGUGAAGGAAAAAUAGGAAAAUCCAAGGAAGAGUGUUGGGUAGGACAACAAGUUUUAGACAGGAGCAAGACUAGAAGCAGAGCAUUGUUGCUGGAGUCCAAACUGCGGGGAAACUGCAGUCUCCCGGUUCAGGGUUUUGCAGAAAGCCGGUCUUACCUGUGUCCUUCUGAUGUCUGUCCUGUUCUAGGCUAUUGACCAUGUAGUAGAGCAAGCUCCUAAUUACCAGGCAAUUAGAGAAAACCAGGAGAGAGCAUAUCACCAGUGUUUCGUCUGUCCCCAGGUCCUUCCAAUGAGUGGCAGUGUUAGCUGAACUGCAGGUGCCAGCCCCAAGACUUAACUCUGGGGGAGACUUCACUCUGGGGGAGCACCCCUCCAGUAGGCAGCCUGAUACUCAAUUUUGAAAACAACGCUUUUGGGUUCUCCUGUUGUUGGAACUUGCUUUGCAGACCGGGUUGGCCUCUAACAGAGAUCUGCCGGCCUCUGCCUCCUGAGUGUUCAAAUGAAAGGUCCUGAAUGCUGGGAUGAAAGGCACGGGCCACCACAGUCACCUCAAAGCAAUUCUUGAAGAGAAAGCAAAUAAGGCCGUUGUUGGAGGCUAAUGGAAACAGCGGUUCUCGCAGACGUGUGUCAAAGCUUGACGGAUUGUACGUGCACUUCAACACGGAAACGCUUGGCCAAGAGGACUCUGGGAAAGAUUUAUGAAAGAUGUCAUAUUCGAGCCGGCUACUUCCUCCAGGUGACCACCUCAGUCUGCAGCUGUCAGCACCAUCACCUUCCAGGACCUUUGUCUGACAUCUCCAGAAUCCAGGAAAUUUUGGUCAGGCUGUGCCUCAAGGUGGAGGACUGGAUGGUAGGGGCAGAAAGAUGUUCUGAACCCUGAAUGGAUGACCAACCAUUAGACCCAAAGAUGAGUCCAAGGACUGCUGUGAUGGCUCAUCCCAUAAAGACACUAGCCCUCAAGCCUCAAGAUUUGACCUCAGCCCCUGGGACCGACAUGGUGGAAGGGUAUGAUAAACCCUGUGAUUUAAACUCCUACAAGCUGUUCUGUGACCUCCACGUACAUACUCCACAGGCACUACGUAAAUAAAUGUAAAAA